GCCUUUGUGGUGCAAUGGUAGCACACUCGGCCCGUAUUCAAGAGGUCCAGGUUCGAGCCCCGGCGAGGGCA
rfam:Stegodyphus mimosarum contig26962, whole genome shotgun sequence.